rnacentral:rRNA from 1 species
CCAGCCGGCCAUAGGGAGCGGGAAAUACCCGGACCCUUUCCGAACCCGGAAGUUAAACCGCUCACCGUGGCUACUUUUAGUACGGUCCGAAAGGCCGUGCGAAGGUAGCCAUGCCGGCUGGC